UACAGAGGUCCCAAGCGUUGUUCGGAUUCACUGGGCGUAAAGGGUGCGUAGGCGGGCAUUUAAGUCAGUGGUGAAAUACCUGAGCUUAACUUGGGAACUGCCAUUGAUACUAUUUGUCUUGAAUGUCGUGGAGGUUAGCGGAAUAUGUCAUGUAGCGGUGAAAUGCUUAGAUAUGACAUAGAACACCUAUUGCGAAGGCAGCUAACUACGCGAAUAUUGACGCUGAGGCACGAAAGCGUGGGGAUCAAACAGG
rnacentral:rRNA from 1 species